rnacentral:rRNA from 1 species
AUUGGAGGGCAAGUCUGGUGCCAGCAGCCGCGGUAAUUCCAGCUCCAAUAGCGUAUAUUAACGUUGUUGCAGUUAAAAAGCUCGUAGUUGAAGUGAGGGAGUGUGUGGGUAUGAGAGCUAGUCUCAAGUGCUCACAACCUCCCCCCUCCAAUCGGUGUAGUGGGGUAUUCAGUUAUUCUACUACUCCUUUGGUCGUUUACUGUGAGAAAAUUAGAGUGUUCAAAGCGGGCGUUUGUUUGAAUAGAUUAGCAUGGAAUAAUGAUUGAAGGCUUUCGUGUUCGAUUUGAUUGGUUUGUUCAUGGAAGCAAGGUUAAAAGGAACAGUUGGGGGUAUUCAUAUUCACUAGUUAGAGGUGAAAUUCUCGGAUUUAUGGAAGAUGAACAGGUGCGAAAGCAUUUACCAAGGAUGUUUUCAUUAAUCAAGAACGAAAGCUAGGGGAUCGAAGAGGAU